rnacentral:lncRNA from 10 species
AGGAGAUCGUCUACAGGGAUUUGAAGCCGGAGAACAUCCUGCUGGAUAGGGAUGGUCACAUCAAGCUCACGGACUUUGGGUUUGCCAAGAAGCUGGUAGACAGACAGGGUCUCAUCCUGUCACCCAAGCUGAAGUGCCGUUGCACAAUCUUGUCUCACUACAGCCUCAAACUCCUCGGCUCAAGUGAUCCUCCCUCCUCAGCCUCUGAAGUAGCUGGGACUACAGGCAUGUGCCACCAUACCAGGCUAAUUUUUUUAUUUUUAAUUUUAGAGAUGUGAUCUCACUUUAUUGCUCAGGCUGGUCUUGAACUCUUGGCCCCAAGAUAUCGUCCCACCUCAGCUUCCCAAAGCACUGGAAUUAGAAGCAUGUGCCACUGUGCCUGGCCAAUUCUAUUUUUGAAUUUAACAUUUUUAGCACCAGACAGUUGUUAAAUCAGUAUCAUUUUAUUAUUUGUUUAUUUAUUUAGAUGGAGUCUCACUC